GUUGUUUUUCGAGUUCGUUGUGGUCCACGUCUGCGGGCAUUUUAAGCAACGGCAUACCUUUUGUAUAAUGGGCAAGUGAAUCUUGAUAAAGGGCAAGCUUAAGCUGUAAAAGUGAAGGCUAAGAGAAAUCGAGUCUUAUGUGGCGAUUCAAAGUCCUUUAUUAAGUACCCGAAACCGGCUGAUCUAAGCUUGAGCAGGCUGAUAUCGUAGUGGCAACACUCUUUGGAAGGCCGAACCCGUGUAUGUGGCAAAAUACUGGGAUGACUUGAGUUUAGGGGUGAAAGGCCAAUCAAAGUCGGUGAUAGCUGGAUUUCUGCGAAAUCUAUUGAAGUAGAGCGUCUUGUUAAAGAAAAUCUGGGGUAGAGCACUGUGUAAGUAAAGGGGAGAUUAUCUCUUACUGAACUUUUGCAAACUCCGAAUACAGAUUUAUUCAUUCAGGGCAGACAGAGUAUGUAUGCAAAGAUUCACGUGAGAAGCAUCCAACCUCCUGUGGCUACGCUGAGUUUACAUGUCAAAGGAAGUGGAGCAGGGUACGAGGUAGUCGGGUAAGUGAUGUUGACGCCCGGUGUGAAGCAGUGUAAUAUGCGCUUUAGGUACGGGAGGUUUCCUGUUGCACUCUAACGUGCCCGUGAGCAUGUUCGC
rnacentral:ncRNA from 1 species